rnacentral:misc_RNA from 1 species
UGUGGGAGCGGGCUUGCUCGUGAAGGCGGCAGUACUGUCGGUACCUAUGCAAGCUGACCCACCGCUUUCGCGAGCAAGCCCGCUCCCACA